rnacentral:lncRNA from 1 species
CCCUGCGGAGCCAGGCUUUCUGCUGUGACAGAGGCGAGGGGCCACAGGAGGCAGCAGUCCUUGCCAGAAACGGCCUCAGCCCCCUCCACGCCCCAGCUCACCGCGAGCUCCCCAUGCCGGCUGUGCCUCUCCCUUUCCAGAGCAAGGCGACACCAAACCCCCGCCGGGUCACAUCCUGUCUUCUUCAGAAUGGUCUUUGCACUGCUGCUAGGGACAGGGGCUACCAGAGCAAAAGGACAACGGAGGAGAACACUUAAGCCCAGUUUCCAGAAGCAUCUAAAAACUAGGUUUAACUGAAAGCCAUUAAGAGGGAAACAGCUUCAUCCAACUCCUCUGCCCACCAACCUGUGCUACACGUAUUCCAGGCUCAUCCCACACCUAAACGACUUCAUGCUACAGGAAGCUAUACUUGAGCUGAACUUCUUGAUGUUUGCACAUCACUGAGUACUAGUAACCAGUAUCCUCUACAGUCUCAGCUUGUGAUCAAUCUACAACAGACCAAACUUGGCAUCAUGCCCAGUCUACC